CCUACGGGUAGCAGCAGUGGGGAAUAUUGCACACUGGGGGAAACCCUGAUGCAGCAACUCCGCGUGAGUGAGGAAGUAUUUCGGUAUGUAACGCUCUAUCAGCAGGGAAUAGAAAAGAAGGUACCUGAAAAAGACGCCCCUGCUAACUACGUGCCAGCCGCCGCGGUACUACGGAGGUGGCAAGCGUUAUCCGGAUUUACUGGGUGUAAAGGGAGCGUAGACGGAAAGGCAAGUCAGAAGUGAAAGCCCAAGGCUCAACCAUGGGACUGCUUUUGAAACUGUCAAACUAGAGUACGAGAGAGGUAAGAGGAAUGCCUAGUGUAGCGGUGAAAUGCGUAGAUAUUAGGAGGAACACCAGUGGCGAAGGCGUCUUACUGGACCGAAACUGACGUUGAGGCUCGAAAGCGUGGGGAGCAAACAGGAGUAGAUACCCCUGUAGUC
rnacentral:rRNA from 1 species